rnacentral:rRNA from 1 species
UACAGAGGUCCCAAGCGUUGUUCGGAUUCACUGGGCGUAAAGGGUGCGUAGGUGGUGAGGUAAGUCGGCUGUGAAAUCUCGGAGCUUAACUCCGAAACUGCAUUCGAUACUGCCGUGCUUGAGGACUGGAGAGGAGACUGGAAUUUACGGUGUAGCGGUGAAAUGCGUAGAUAUCGUAAGGAAGACCAGUGGCGAAGGCGGGUCUCUGGACAGUUCCUGACGCUGAGGCACGAAGGCCAGGGGAGCAAACGGG